CUCUUGAAAUCAUCUCAAAGUGUCUCUAAUGUGUCCACAUUUGAAGAAUUUUAUUUUAAGAAACUUACUUCUGUAGAGUCCAUUGUUGUGGAGUCUAAGGGGAAAUAGAGGGACAACUGUGUUUGUAGCUUCAAGUGCCAUAGGAGUCAACACAUUGUGUAGACACAGUGGAGCCUAGAGCUCCCUGGAGCACAGGUUCUGGAUGUGGACUACCUGGGUGAACAUCCUGUCAGCUCCCUGUGACAUUGAACAUGGAACACAACCUUGACGUGUCUCUGUUUCUUCAUCAGCAAAGUUGAGCUACUGUGCGUAGCUGCAUAUACAGUGGUGAAGACUGCAUGAGCUGAUCCACAGCUCAAGAUGGUGAGUUAUCUUGGACGGCCAAGUCUUUAGGCCUGGACUAAAGUAAGUACUCAGUAAACGUCCGCAUUAUCCUAUUUAUUCUUAAUGGCCUUCUGGUUCUUGAGGUUUCUUGCAUUUUAUCUCAGAGGCUAUGCAGAACCAUGAGAAGGAAUUCAGCCAUCUCUGCUAAAUUUCUUCUUUGCAGAGUGACUAGGACCCAGAGAAAAGAGAGAAAAUAGUGUAGACACCCUAAGCAUAGAGCUCAACGAAAUAUGAUGGCUUUGGCCAUAAAUGCCGCUUUAUGGCUGUCUGUAAAGCUGCCCAUCAAGAAGCUCCCGACAGAUGACCCACAGUGAUGAGAGGAGGAAGGGAGCGGCACUGCAGAACAUUCCACCUGACGGGGACACAGAUCAUGGGAAGGGCAUUCUCAUCAAGCACAGGGUAUCUUUCAGUUCUUUCUUCCUCCUUCGUAUCCUCUGGCCCAGCCCCUCUACUUGUGUCCCUGCCUCUCAGUUUCCAGCUGCCAUUCAUUCAUUCAUUCAUUUUUUUCAUUGAAUUAUAUUUUAAUUAACUCAUAUUCAUUCAAACAUUAUUCAUGACUUUUUAAAUUACUCAGAUAGCAGAUAUUUAUCGUACUAACAACUGCAGAUUAGAUUUAUUGGACUCUUUCUAGAUGGUAGGUUCCUUGAUAAGUUGUUAACACUAACAACAGCAUCAACAUUUAUUGAGCAUUUAUUCUGUGUCAAGCACCUUGGUAAUUGUUGUGCAUGAACUAUUUCAUUUUAUCUUCACAAAAGUUGUCUGGGAUAAGAUGCUAUUAUUAACAGGAUUUUUACAGGUUGGGAGAAGUGUCUUAGAGAGUUUAGGCAAAUUGUCGAAAGUCACACAGCUAGUAAAUUAGAGAGUCAGGUUUCAAAAUCAUGUCUAUCUAACUUAAAACAAGUACUCAACUUUUGCUUGGGACAGUCUCAACAGAUCUAAAAUUCCAGUGUUUAUCAUUCUUGCUCAGUAAUGAAUUCAUAGGGAAAGUGAUACUUGAUCUGUGUUGUAAAGUGUGGACAAGGAGACCACUAAGAAAAUGAUUUAAGAAGGUAUUCAUUCCAAUUGAAAACAACAUACUAAAGAAAACAGGGAAGCAGAAACCCACAGCAUGGCCCCAUUUUCCCAGCAUCACUCAUUGAAAAGGUAUUAAUAUGUCAUCAUCAAUUUGACAAAAGCAAAUGGUGAGUUAAAAAUCUUUCCAUUGAAAAUGACAGGGAAUCCAACUCAAACUGGCUUGAAGAAUAACGGGAUGUAUAAACUUGCAUCAGUGAAAAGGCCAGAGGCAGGACCAGCUUCAGGUACAGUUUGAUCUAGAAUCAUCAAGGACCAGUUUUGUUCCUUUCCAUAUUUCCUCUUUGCAUUCCAAAGCAUCAGUUGCUUCUUCAGUCCUCAAAUGGCUUCCCAUUGGCAGUUCCGUGGUCUUCUGACCUAGUAGUAAAGAAGCCGUUCAGGUCUUUAUGUCUUCACACCAUACGGAUCACAGAAGGAGUGGCUUUCAAGGAGGGGAGAGAACUUUCUUUUUCCCAGAAGCCCUAGAAGACUUCUCCACAGGUUUCAGUGGUUCUGACUGGGUUUCUGCCAUCAUGGAUCAAAUAAUGGCGGCCAGAGAGAUGCGAUGGGAUAGAAUUAUUGGCUUUAGCCAGUCAGGCAUCUCCUGUGCUUGGGGCAAUGCCUGGCACCUGACACAGCUGAUAUUUGUUAAAUCAUUGAAUGUAUCACAAACACCAAAUCAACAGGCGUGGGGCUUCUACAGAAUAUGGCGGAUUCAUGGCGCACUUGCUGCAGCCUCAGUCUUCUUUCUGUUCAGGCCUUAAUUCCGUACCUCUUGAUCCUAUAACUGUAGUUCCUUGACUACAGGACUAUGGAGUUUUAGUCAAUACGCUAUGGUCCCUAUCGCAAUGCUCCACAAAGGUGUAUUGGGUAAUUAGAAUUAAUUAGAAUUAAUACCCUUCUGUUGACUUCGCCAUAGAGUUUUCUCUGCCUCGGUUGCCUAAGGAUUAGGCUGGGAUAGGAUGGGGCUGGUCAUGGGUGGAGUCCGCAUGGGUGAUUUAGG
rnacentral:lncRNA from 1 species